rnacentral:rRNA from 3 species
ACGACUCUCGGCAACGGAUAUCUCGGCUCUCGCAUCGAUGAAGAACGUAGCGAAAUGCGAUACUUGGUGUGAAUUGCAGAAUCCCGUGAACCAUCGAGUCUUUGAACGCAAGUUGCGCCCCAAGCCUUCAGGCCGAGGGCACGUCUGCCUGGGUGUCA